GGGAGGAAACCUCAAAUGAAAUGCAGGAGAUUCUACAUGGGUAUCCCAGGGAAUCUCACUAGUUGUUAAGCAGCCUGUCUCUGGAGGUUUUUCAGCACUUAUCUCCAUUGUGACUAGGGGAUGAACAUUUCCAUCUUAACUAUCAAGAUAUGUGUGCAACUGAGACUGACACAUCUAAUAAAGGACUGAUUCGCUGCAUCUGCCAAGGUCUCUUGGUAAGGGCUUUGGAUCCAGAUACUGAGAUUUCCUAACAUUUCCUGAAUGGGUACUCUUUCAGAAGCAUAGCAAUAUUAUCGCUUAUCCUUCCAAUUCAACCACUUAGCUUCUCCUUCAGUAUUACUAUAAUGGGGGUCAUACUUUGAAAAAUUUAACUAUGCAUUCUUCUUUAGGUUUCCAAGCAAAUAACAUUUAUUAUAGUUGUCCCAAGAAUUUAUGAAACCUGGAGAAGAUUAAAGUAUGUUAUUGCAAAUGGAAUGAUUUAAUAGCUUCUGACAUGGAAAAUAAGGUUUUUUAAAUUUCUUGUUUCCUCUCAGUGUACCAAGAACACUGGUGGAUGAAGACAAAGGAAAGACGUUACUAAUCCAGCCAAAAAUGUGUGUCCUUAUUUUUCCUUCCUUGGGCUGCUGCUCAAAGACCUAAAAAAGAGUAAAUAAAUGAGAGUAAAUGAGGAAAAUCUCCAAGAGUUGGUGAAUCAUGCUAUUGCCAAUAACAGUCAUGUGACAGAGAUGAACAUUUCAUCAUCUUCAGUAAAUAAUCAAGAUGAGAUGACAUGCUGGGUCUGUGAUCAUCAGGGAUCCAAAUGCCUUCUAUCUUGGUGCUGGGCCACAAUCACCAAGUGGCUUCCACCUCACAGUCUGCUGUGGCUGAUUAAACUCCAGCAUCUUACUGAUAAAAGAACCCAACAAGGGCAAGGUUGAAUUACAAAGAAAGGAGAACAUAUACAUUGGAGGACUACUAUCAACCUCUGCCACAAAAAUAAUCAACCUACAUUUCCUCAACGUAUGAAAUUUUAAAGUAUACUACUAAAUUUAAAAAAUUAUUCAUAUUCAUAUUUUCAAUGGUAAAACUAUUGAGCAUUCUGUCAUUUGUGCCAAUUGUUUUACCAAAAAUUUUAGAUAUAAGAGGAGACAUUUAUAACACAAGGUGUUUCUAAUUGGAAAGCAAGCCCUGGAAAAAUUUAGAAAACAAGAGAGAUGUGAAAUGUGCUAUACAUUAUUGUGAUUUUGAAAUCUAUUUUUUGGAAAAAUUAUGCUUAUAAAUAAUUGAAACUUUAAGAGAGGUUGAAGAAAGUGGAGCACAAUUAAAUUUUGUGAUUAGAAGGUUGCAUUUCUUAUAAAAAAAUGUUUACUAUUGAGAGGGCAUGACAGUGCUACCAGGGCAGGAAUUUUCAUUCAUUUUGUUCGCUUAUAUUUUUGGCAACCAGAAUAGUGCGUCAAACAGAGUAGGGACUAGAUAAAUAUUGAAUUAACGAUUGAUCAAUUGGUGGAUUAAAUUAGAGUAAGAGACGAAGAAAUAUUUCAACACACGAAUUGCAAGUAGAUUUUUACAAAAGAGCAUACAUUUAAUACUAAAUUUGAAAAUUCACCAGACAUAGUAAUAACAUCGGUUUUUCCUUAGCGUAUUCAAUAAUAUGAGAAAACCGUGUAGGAAAAGAACCACUUGAGUACAUAUAAAACCCACUGAAGAUGUCAAAACGUAUACUAAUUUAAAAGGGGCUCUUACAUUUUAUCAAGCUAGGAGAGAAGUCUGGGACUAAGCACGAAUUUAUUUGUAGCAAGUCACAAAAUAAAAAUAAAAUAUGUGGCCUAGACUGCAACAGUCAUACAAUUGUGGGAAUUUUAAUGAAGUUCUUCCUGAAUUUAAAGAAAACCACAGAGGUGUUCUUAUCAUAUGCAUGCCUUUUGCAUUGAUGAGUGAUAAUGUUUCAUGAGUAGGUAAAAAAGUUGUAAAAACUCUAAAUCCUGUAUGACUUUAUAUGCUAUCACUCAGAAAUAUGCAAAAAGAUAAACACUUCCUCACAAUAUGUAAGCAGAACAGAAAGCAUAAGAAGUAAGCUAUGCAAGUUGUAAAACAUGGGUUGACAUGUACUUAAUCUUACUUUAUUGGUGUAAUUCAAACACAUCUGGAGAUUACUGAGUCUUGAAAUAUGCAGAUGACCCGUGAAUUAAGUGUUUGGCUGACAGAUUUCAAAUUUGAAAUUAUAAUUUCUUUAAAAUGCUUUUUUUAAAAAACAUCUUCUGUUGUGAUGAGAAUUCUUUUUCAAGAAUAGAAAUGUAAAUAUAUGAUGGAUCCUUUUCUUGGCCUUCAACCGAGAGCCAUGAUUUCAUUUUUUUGUCAAAGACAAUAAAUAUUUUAAAUAUAUUUGGGGUGGCUGGGCGCGGUGGCUCAAGCCUGUAAUCCCAGCACUUUGGGAGGCUGAGACGGGCGGAUCACGAGGUCAGGAGAUCGAGACCAUCCUGCCUAACACGGUGAAACCCCAUCUCUACUAAAAAAUACAAAAAACUAGCCGGGCGAGGUGGCGGGCGCCUGUAGUCCCAGCUACUCGGGAGGCUGAGGCAGGAGAAUGGCGUGAACCCGGGAGGCGGAGCUUGCAGUGAGCUGAGAUCUGGCCACUGCACUCCAGCCUGGGCGACAGAGCGAGACUCUGUCUCAAAAAUAAAUAAAUAAAUAAAUAUAAAUAAAUAAAUAAAUAAAUUUGGGAAAGAAACUAUAUGUCACAAACUAAUCUCUAUCUAAAUCUUUGAAAGUACACAUGCCCUCUCUUUAAAAAACAGGCAAAUUCAUAAUGAAUUUUUCUUCAAGGAAUGAACUCAUAUCAAGUAACAUGAAGAUGUUCAUUGAGAGCAGGGUUUAGUCUGUUUAUUCACUGUAUUCUCUGCACCUGGAACAGGUUCCUGGCACAUAACAGAUACUUAACACAUAUUAGGUAUACAGGUGAUUGAGUGAAUAAAUUAAUAAAUGAAUGAACAGCUAAUCAUAUGCAUAUGUCAUCCCAGAAUUCCAAGUUUACUAAAAUUCUGCAAAUUAUGACUUCAUCUAUUAUGUCAACGUAACGAAGUUUUUCGUUUUAUGUAUUUAAGGUGGCAUUCAUCAUAUUGCUCAGAGCUGGCAUUCAGUGUUUUGAGUUGGCCAGUCAUUGCAGCCAGAACAAAUGAUUCUCUUCCAUUCUACUUUAUCCUUAAGGGUAUUUUAAGAAUACCAUGGAGAAAAAUAAAAUUAGUGUCUGCCAUUAAUGGAUAUUGGGAAAUAGUUGGUAACCAAACUGAUGAACUCAGAAGGGCUCAGUGGCUCUGGGGUAAGACUUGCCACAUGGUGGAGAAAAAGUGAUGCUUCAUUAAUCAUACCUCUAAUAACUUAUUCUUGCAAUUUCAUAUAUUCCCAUAAUUCACAUUUCUGGGUUUAGCCAGUCACUUCUAAUAUAUAUUGCUUUGGUUAUAAGUUCAUGCUAUAACAUUGUUGCUGACAAUGACGUUACAGUGACAUUAGCACGAUUUUAUUAAAACCUUCCAGUAUUAUUAAAUUAAUAAUCUAUUUGAAAGAUAUUAGUCAGAAAUUUCUCAUAAAGUUUCUGUUUUGUUUAAAAUCCUUGCUUAGAGUAGCCACUAUUACCAGUUCCAAGCAAUUCCCCACUCUCUCAUAGACAAACCUGAAUUUUAAGUAUUAGGAUUCAGCCCAUUAGGCAUCUUGGGGAUGAGAAUAUAAUCCUUAUUUUAAAUUGGUUGGAGAAUUAAAGUUACAGAAUAAGACUGAUGGCCAGUUUCUAGAAAGUAGCAUACCA
rnacentral:lncRNA from 1 species